rnacentral:rRNA from 1 species
UACGUAGGGUGCAAGCGUUGUCCGGAAUUAUUGGGCGUAAAGAGCUCGUAGGCGGUUCGAUAAGUCGGGUGUGAAACCUCCAGGCUCAACCUGGAGACGCCACCCGAUACUGUCGUGACUAGAGUCCAGUAGGGGAGCGUGGAAUUCCUGGUGUAGCGGUGAAAUGCGCAGAUAUCAGGAGGAACACCAGCGGCGAAGGCGGCGCUCUGGGCUGGAACUGACGCUGAGGAGCGAAAGCGUGGGGAGCGAACAGG